AGUACAGCGCCGUGGUGCUGACACUGCUCAUGGCCGUGUUCGCCCUGCUCGCGCACUGGGUCGCCUGCGUCUGGUUUUACAUUGGCCAGCGGGAGAUCGAGAGCAGCGAAUCCGAGCUGCCUGAGAUUGGGGUUGCUGAUCUGACAUUAAGAAGACCUUCAGCUCCCAAGAAUCUCUGAGCUCCACAGGAUGGGCAAGGGUGGAUCGACCCUUGCAGAUACACAUUAUAUUC
rnacentral:lncRNA from 1 species